rnacentral:rRNA from 1 species
UACGUAGGGGGCAAGCGUUGUCCGGAAUCAUUGGGCGUAAAGAGCUCGUAGGCGGUCUGUCGCGUCUGCUGUGAAAACUCAGGGCUUAACCCUGAGCUUGCAGUGGGUACGGGCAGACUAGAGUGUUGCAGGGGAGACUGGAAUUCCUGGUGUAGCGGUGAAAUGCGCAGAUAUCAGGAGGAACACCGAUGGCGAAGGCAGCUCGCUGGGACGUGACUGACGCUGGAGACGCGAAAGCCGUGGGGAGCGAACAGG